rnacentral:rRNA from 1 species
UACGGAGGGGACUAGCGUUGUUCGGAAUUACUGGGCGUAAAGCGCACGUAGGCGGAUUUGUAAGUCAGGGGUGAAAUCCCGGGGCUCAACCCCGGAACUGCCUUUGAUACUGCGAAUCUCGAGUCCGGAAGAGGUGAGUGGAAUUCCUAGUGUAGAGGUGAAAUGCGCAGAUAUCAGGAGGAACACCAAUGGCGAAGGCAGCUCGCUGGGACGGUACUGACGCUGAGACGCGAAAGCGUGGGGAGCGAACAGG